AUGCGCAGGCGCAGUAUGUCGCGUCACGAAAGGUGGUUGGUGACGUGGGACAGUGGUGACCAUGGUGCUGGCGGUUUUUCUGCUCGGGGAGUGGCGGGCAUCACGAUCCGCCCGGCUCGAUACCCACCGUGGCGCGGUUCUUGGCGAUAUGGUGGUGCGGGGUGAAAUCACAGCCGGUCACUCACUCGCCCUGCGCCAUGGUGUGGGCAGCGCUCCGGGGCCGAGCCCCGGGUCGGGCUGCCGAGGGGAAGGGGAUGGUUGUGGUCUCGCUGAACCGAGUUACUUUUCACGGGUUUCGGGUUUAACGAUAAUGAUCCGCUUCGCGCUUUGUAAGGAUCUCAGACCCAGAGCCAAUGUCACGGCCCAAGGUAGGAGCAUGGCGCAUCGUAAACCUACAUUGCGAUGUCCUCCAGAGCCGGCCUUGUCGCCACCCUCGUCCACUACAUUUACAAUACUGUCCCGAACAUGCGAAGCAGUGACCAGGUAUGACAGUGUAAAACCACUCCAGUCAGUUUUCUUUCAAUUGUCGGCACAAGUAUUCCUCUUCAUCAUCAUUGUUUGCUGUAUCAGCCCAAGUGUUAGUGCCGUCAAAUGGGACUUAACCUGCUGUAACCUGGGCUUGGGUGCCCAAUUCUGGUUUUGCCUGGAUCACACAGCAGAGGUGCAAAUGUAGAUGAGACAGCAAUUUUCCAGUAGUGAGGUGAGAGUGACCAACAUUGAGGCACCUCAGGGUGUGCGAUGGCUUGUGGUAUCAAGGAGUCCUGGCAAAUUUGAAGCCUGCUGGCAUCACUGCUCUGGCCCAGGUAGUGCCAGUGAACAUCGCCACCUCAGGUUGAUGUCCAGUCACAAACUGGAGAAAAUCUGCAGAUGCUGGAAAUCCAAGCGACACACACAAAACGCUGCAGGGGCUCAGCAGGCCAGGCAGUGAGUGCAGUUGACAUAUUGGGCCCACUGUACUCUUUUCCAUAGAUACUGCCUGACCUGCUGAGUUCCUCCAGCAUGUGUGUGUGUUGCUCAGGUCGAUGUUCUUGUUGCUGUUUGCAGGAUUUGUUUGUUGUGCCGGGGAGGGAGGGUGAUUGUCUUGUUGCUGUCAGGGGAUUUUUUUUUUUUUUGCGGGGGAAUGUUUUAUUUUGAACGGGUUUUGUGUCUGUGGAGAAUGUAAGUCUCAGGGUUGACUACUGCAUGCAAUCUUUGAUAUAAAUAUUCUUUGACCUUUGAUCAAAGGGACAGUAGAGACAGAUUAGGGGUGCUGGAAAUCUGGAGCAACACACGUGCUGGAUGCUGGAGGAGUUUGGGGGUCAGGCAGCAGCUAGGAGGGAAAUGGACAAUCCCUUCAUAAGGGCUGGAAGGAAGGGGGACAUGAGCCAGAAGGAAAGGGCAAGAGAGGAGGAGGUGUUGGUGGGUGAUGGGUAAAUCCAGGUGGAAGGUAGGCAAGUGGGAUUCCUGUCAGGUGAUAGAAGAGGCAAAAUGUUGAACAAGAUGGAAUCUGAUAGGAGAGGGCAGUUGACUGGAAUAAAGGGAAGGAGGUGAGGAAUCUGAGGGUGGUGGGCUGUGAUGUUGAUGCAGGUUGGAGACGAUCUGGAUGGUAUUGCUUCGAGCAAGCCUAACACUCUAACGUGGUAGUCGAGGAGGCCCUGGACAGAUACGUCAGUGUGAGAAUUGGAAGUGGAAUUGAAUGGCUGCUCACGAGGAUAUCCUGACCGUUAGCAGCUGGAGUGGAGGUGCUCAACGCAGUGGUCCCUCAGUCUGCUUCUGGUCUCUGCAAUGUAGAGCAGGUCACGCUGAGGGCACGGAAUGCAAUACAUGGCGCUGAUGGAGUUGCAUGUGAAAAACUGCCUCUCCUGGAAAGAUUGUUUCAGGCCCUGAAUGGUGGUGAGAAUGAUGAGUGGGGGCAGGUUGCUGGGAUAAGAGCCUGGAGGGAGUUAGCGAGGGAGGAGCAGACAAGGGAGUGGUGCUGAGUGAUUGCUGCAGAAAGUGGAGAGGGGAGGGGAAUAUGUGCCCCGUAGUGGAACUCUUGCAGUUCUCCUCUCACAUUUUGGACUGGGUCAGGGGUUAGCUUUUUCACUGCAGUGCUUGUAAAUCCUUGCGAUUCUCCGUUGUCCCAAUGGAUUGGAGCUGAUCAACUAUCUUCUUAGCUGAGACAGCUUUUGGCAGAAUGAUUACAUGUUACAGUUCUUCGGUCUUUAUAUAAACUGUUCAAUCUUAGCAAUAAUAUUAAAGUACAGUCUUCAGAAAGAAUUUUCAAUUACUUUAUAUAUUUAAAACAGUUUCCUGUUGCUACCUACAUGAUAAUAUCUUGUGGUUACCUUCCAUUUCAAAAAGCUAUCAGUCGCACUGAGUGCCUACAAACUGACUGGGCUGGGAAAUUUCAAACAUUUAACUACCUUCUAAGUGAAAAUGUCUUUGUCACUCGAUCCUAAGUGAUUGUCACCUCCUUGGAUUUAGGUCUGUCUUUUCAGAAUAUACAUCAAGGCUCAUAGAUUGUUAAAACCUAUUGCAAAAAUGUUUCAGUGUGGUCACCGCUCGCUCCUUUAAGCUGAAUGGGAUGGGCCUGUUUGGAUAUAUGGAACAAUUUCCUUAUCUCCGGGAACAGGACAGUGUUGGAUGCUAUUGGAAAGAGGUUAAAGCUAAGGAGAAAGCACAGAAAAGAAUGAUUUGUCGGAAUGAAAGGCUUUAUAUAUUAUGACAGACAAAAAUAACUUGUUUUCACAAAGAGAAUGAUAAAUGAAAUCUACUUAUGUUGUUUGAAUUUGGGAGGUUUUAGUAAAACAGGAGUGUGGCUGACUGAAAGAUAAAAAUCAGAAUCAGGUUUACUAUCACUGACUGAUCGGUCAUGAAGUUUGUUGUUUUGUGGCAACAGUGCAACACAAAGAUACAGAAUACUAUAAAUUACAAAAUAAAUAUUGCAAAAGCAGAAUGAAUGAAGUAGUCUUUGUGGACUAUUCAAAAAUCUGCUGGCAGAGGCAGGAGGCUCCUAUACCUCCUCUCCAGUGGUAAUUAACAGAAGCGGGCAUGCUUGAGUGGUGAGAGGCCUUAAUGAUGGAUGCUGCUGCCUUCUUGGGACUCCACCUCUCGAAGAAAUCCUUAAUGUCGGGAUGGUCUCUGCCCACGAUGGACUGGCUGAGUGUACGUCCCUCUGCGUCCUCUGUCGAUCCAGUCAGAAUGCUCUCCACCACUCAACUCUAGACAUUUGUGACAUGCCAAAUCUCUUCAAACUCCUAAUGCAGCACAGCAUGAAGGUGCUUUAUUUCAAUAUUUUGGGCCCAGGAUAGAUUCUCUGACACACAGAAGCUUGAAACUGCGACCCUUUUCCGCCGCAGACCCUCAAUGAGGACUGGUGUGUGUUCUCCCAGCUUCCCCUUCCUGAAGUGCACAGUUAAUUCCCUGGUGUUGCUGACAUUGAGCACGAGGUUGCUGCCUGACACUUCUCAGCCAGCUGAUGAAUCUCACUCCCUCACGCCUUUCAUUUUCAGAUUACUAAAAGAACAUGGUGAGAUUAUACUACAAAUACAGCAAUGUUACAGGAAAUACAACAUUAGCAGUAUUUUGCAGAAAGGAUGACAGGAUUAUUGAUUUAAAUACACAGUGCAGUUCCUUAGAAUACAGGCCUUUUUACAGAAUUUGAGAUAUAAGUAUACAGGAUUUUGAUAUCCUGACCCACAUUCCACUUCAGAGGUGGUGGUAAUGCACCUCAAAGCUGUUUGCAAGCUGUCAUAUAGCCGGAGGAGAAGAAAAAUAACUAAAACGUGAGGUUGUGGCAGAUGUGAAAGUGUUUGUGUAAGCAAAACCAUCUCACAGAAUAAAUAAAAUCAAGGUGUAUACAAAGGGAAAGUGAAUUGAAACUACAUAGGAACUACUGUGAGAAUUCAUUUUGCACUCAUGACUGGGGCAUAAAGUUAACGCAGUGUAAACUGAAUUGCCUCUACAGUGGAACUACAUAACCUUCAUUGCUAUUUCAACGUUAGCUUACUUAUGACUUUUUGAUGUUACAUUGCAGAUGGAUUGCUUCCGUAACCGUCAUAAAACUGAACCAGAGGAAAACCGUCGUAGUCAAAGACGCUGCACCCCCAGGCACCCAAAGGUCAAUGGUUGGAGCUGGCCACCCCAUCCCUUUCAGAUACUAUCUUGGAUCGCCGACUUGUACUUCCUUAUCGUUGUAGUGGGUAUACUUAUCCCUCUUCUUCCAUCAGGAUGCGUACCUGCUGGCUACGUUUGGUUUGGUGGUGCUUUUAUUUGGAACGUAGCUUUUCAGGUGAUUGCAGUCACCAUCGACCCAGCUGAGGAUAGCGUUCGGGCCAAGGGAUAUAAAAGAUUACCCCCGGUGUACAAAGGCAAACCACUUAAAUCUAGUCUCCGUGAGUGUUACCGGCUUUGUGAAGUUGAGGUAGCCUAAUGGUUGAGGGGUAAUAACUGUACCUGAACCUGGUGACGUGGGCCCUGAGGCUUCUGCGCCUUCCUGCUGGCAGCAGUGAGAAGAGAGCUUGUGCUUGGUGGUGGGGGUCCUUGACAAUGAGGCUGUUUUCCUGCGACAACACUCCACGAUUACUUUUGAUAUUGAAGAAAAAGAUGCAAAUGCGAAGUAAAGUUUUAGAAAGUAUGAUAUUUGGAACAUUCAGAGUAAAACACGGUACUGUAUUAUCUAUUGAACAUAAUAUAUUGGAGCACAAUUAGGCCAUUUGGCUCAUCAAAUCUGCUCUUCCAUCCAUCAUGGCUGAUUUAUUAUCCCACUCAGCUCGAAUUUCCUGCCAGCUCCCAAUAAACUUUGACACCCUUACUAAUCUACAACUUGUCAACCUCUGAUUUAAAUAUUACUUGGCUUCCAAAGCUGUCGGUCACAAUGAAUUCCACAGAUUCUCCACUCUCUGGCUAAAAAAAAAGUUCCUUCUCAUCUUUGUUCAAAAUGGAGUCCUUUGUUUUGUAAUUUAUUUUUUUUAUUGAAGUUCAUCAUCAAGCAAACAUUUCCAUAAGAUGUAUUUCAGAGAUUCUGAGGCUAAACUCCCCUGGCUACUGGAACCAUCCUCUCCAUGUCCACUCUAACUAGGCCUUUCAAUAUUUGAAUGAGAUUCUUCCUCACUGUUCUAAUCUCAAGUGAGUACAGGCCCAGAGCCAUCAAACUCCACUUCAUUAACCCUUCCACUCCCAGGAUCAAUCUCGUGAACCUCCUCUGGACCCUCCCCAAUGAAUAUUCUGAUCUGUGCUCUCCUUCAGACUUCGACUGUUUAUCUGUUACAACUUCCCACCAUGUAGUUUCCCUACAGAUGCUGUUUUAGAAUGCUGUCCAAUGUGUAGGCUAUUUGCACUCCAGAGUUAGUGUAAUUUAUUUGUAUUUUGACCAAAUCAGAAGCACACUAGGACGCUACAGUUAUCCCUCUGUGGGAAAAGUAUAGAUGUUCUUAUUUUUUCAUAUUUAUUAUAAUUUUGGGAUGAUAGAUCAUUAUAUUUUCUUGUAUUUCUGAUUCACAGGUGUCGAAAUUCCCACCACUGUAAUAAAUGCAAGAAGUGUGUAGGUAAUUUUGAUCAUCACUGUAAGUGGCUCAACAAUUGUGUAGGAGGCAGAAAUUACCGGUACUUUCUGGGCUGUGUUAUCUCUGCUGUCCUUUGUUGUCUGAUAGCCGUCACCAUUUCAGGCUUUGUCUUUGUUGGAUUCUUUAUAAAUCCAAAACUGCUUCAAAGCAGCCCAGAAUUUGGAUUGAUAAAUGAUGCAGAUACCUGGCUUGUAUUUCUGCCAUAUUUUUUUGGUUCGUACAAACUUAACUACUAUUCUAGCUCUCGCUGGGGUCACCGUUGGACUAAGUCUGACUGCACUGAUAGCUUUGUGCGAUCUUCUGUUCUUCCACUUCUACCUUAAAUGCAGAAAACGUGGCAACUCAUCAGAACAGUGACUCUCACGUUCACUUUGAAAACACCUCAACAAAUGGGUCAACAUCAGGGUAUCAUCAGGAUGCUGUCAUGAUAGAGGAUGAAACUUUGCCAACAGUUGCUUCUGAUUGUAGUCAAGCCAGGAUAAAAAGGAUUUCACAGAAACGAAGAUGUAAAACGUCUUCUACAAGUAGAUUUAAACAGAAGGCUGCAAUCAGGACCACUAAAAGACCAUUUCGACCUUCUCAACUACCACCAGCUCUUGCUGCUGCUUUAUCAAUAAACACAGUCCGCUCCAUGUGGGCUGCAGGACCUCCAGCUGAAUACGGUUCAGACUCUGCAGAGUCUGGAUGAAGUCCCGGUGGUCCAGACAAGACUCGGCAGUGCAGCAGUGGCCAUGCAGACCAGCACAACCUUCCACAGCACAGAGGACUCCUUUGCAAAUUCUGUCUGCAAUUUCCAAAGAGUGCCACAACAAAAGACCAGAUCAGCCAAUUACAAGCAAAAAAUCAAAAGGCUUGGAUCCAAGAGAUCUUCCUGUGAAUGACAGGCACAAGAGUGAUGAAAUGCCUCUUUCCGAAUAAAGACAGGGCCUAAACCUGCAUCUGUGAGCUGGAGACUGUCCAGAUUCUUUCCUCAUGUCAAGGAUAACUUGGACGAUAAAGUACACACAGCAUCUGAAUGAGUUUCAUGUUAAAGCUGGGUCCCAGUGUUGGUCAUCACUCCUAAAGAGAUUGAGUAGAUUUCAUUUUGGUAUUUUUGUAUGAAUGCUAUUUAUCACUUGGCAUAUAUCUAUAUACAUUAUGAGGCCAUUUCUUAAAUGGAACUGCUUCUCAGGGACUGGUUCAGUGUGACGAUUUUUAAGUAUCACAUCAUUUGUUUUUUCACAUUCUGUUUAUCCUCCAUUAACAAAUUGUUCAUUGUGACAAUCUGAGGGGGAGAAAACACCAUUUAACAGCUUCUUUUAAACACUUUCCUAAAACCACAGCAUUUAUUUUGUGUGGCCUUGGCAAUCUUUUAAUGGCAAUGUGACAUUGCUCUUGUUUUAUUGAAAUUUUAUUUCUAUGUUAUUUAAUAAUUAAACUGUUAAGUACCAAAAGUAUUAUAGAUAUAAUUUUAGUUAUAUUUCUUAAGGCUACAACAUUAUUUCUGUACUAAAAUAAAUUGUU